GACGAACGCUGGCGGCGUGCUUAACACAUGCAAGUCGAACGAUGAAGCCUAGCUUGCUAGGUGGAUUAGUGGCGAACGGGUGAGUAAUACGUGAGUGACCUACCUUUGACUCUGGGAUAAGCCUGGGAAACUGGGUCUAAUACCGGAUACGACCAAUCUCCGCAUGGGGUGUUGGUGGAAAGCGUUAUGGAGUGGUUUUAGAUGGGCUCACGGCCUAUCAGCUUGUUGGUGAGGUAAUGGCUUACCAAGACGACGACGGGUAGCCGGCCUGAGAGGGUGACCGGCCACACUGGGACUGAGACACGGCCCAGACUCCUACGGGAGGCAGCAGUGGGGAAUAUUGCACAAUGGGCGCAAGCCUGAUGCAGCGACGCCGCGUGAGGGAUGACGGCCUUCGGGUUGUAAACCUCUGUUAGCAUCGAAGAAGCGAAAGUGACGGUAGGUGCAGAGAAAGCGCCGGCUAACUACGUGCCAGCAGCCGCGGUAAUACGUAGGGCGCGAGCGUUGUCCGGAAUUAUUGGGCGUAAAGAGCUUGUAGGCGGUUGGUCGCGUCUGCUGUGAAAGGCUGGGGCUUAACCCUGGUUUUGCAGUGGGUACGGGCUAACUAGAGUGCAGUAGGGGAGACUGGAAUUCCUGGUGUAGCGGUGGAAUGCGCAGAUAUCAGGAGGAACACCGAUGGCGAAGGCAGGUCUCUGGGCUGUAACUGACGCUGAGAAGCGAAAGCAUGGGGAGCGAACAGG
rnacentral:rRNA from 1 species